CGACGAGAAAUUUCUUAUGGAAG
rnacentral:snRNA from 1 species